rnacentral:rRNA from 1 species
UACGUAGGGUGCAGGCGUUAAUCGGAAUUACUGGGCGUAAAGCGUGCGCAGGCGGUUUGCUAAGACAGGUGUGAAAUCCCCGGGCUUAACCUGGGAACUGCGCUUGUAACUGGCAAGCUAGAGUGUGGCAGAGGGGGGUGGAAUUCCAAGUGUAGCAGUGAAAUGCGUAGAUAUUUGGAGGAACACCGAUGGCGAAGGCAGCCCCCUGGGCUAACACUGACGCUCAUGCACGAAAGCGUGGGGAGCAAACAGG